rnacentral:misc_RNA from 1 species
GAUGAAGAACGCAGCGAAAUGCGAUAAGUAAUGUGAAUUGCAGAAUUCCGUGAAUCAUCGAAUCUUUGAACGCACAUUGCGCCCCCUGGCAUUCCGGGGGGCAUGCCUGUCCGAGCGUCAUUUCUGCCCUCAAGCACGGCUUGUGUGUUGGGUGUGGUCCCCCCGGGGACCUGCCCGAAAGGCAGCGGCGACGUCCGUCUGGUCGUCGAGCGUAUGGGGCUCUGUCACUCGCUCGGGAAGGACCUGCGGGGGUUGGUCACCACUAUAUUUUACCACGGUUGACCUCGGAUCAGGUAGGAGUUACCCGCUGAACUUAAGCAUAUCAAUAAGCGGAGGA